rnacentral:rRNA from 1 species
GCCUAACACAUGCAAGUCGAACGGGCACCUUCGGGUGUCAGUGGCAGACGGGUGAGUAACACAUGGGAACGUACCCUUUGGUUCGGAACAACUCCGGGAAACUGGAGCUAAUACCGGAUAAGUCCUUCGGGGGAAAGAUUUAUCGCCAAAGGAUCGGCCCGCGUCUGAUUAGCUUGUUGGUGAGGUAAUGGCUCACCAAGGCGACGAUCAGUAGCUGGUCUGAGAGGGUGACCGGCCACACUGGGACUGAGACACGGCCCAGACUCCUACGGGAGGCAGCAGUGGGGAAUCUUGCGCAAUGCGCGAAAGCGUGACGCAGCAACGCCGCGUGCGGGAAGACGGCCUUCGGGUUGUAAACCGCUUUCAGUUCCGACGAAGCGCAAGUGACGGUAGGAACAGAAGAAGGACCGGCCAACUACGUGCCAACAACCGCGGUAAUAC